UACGUAGGGGGCAAGCGUUGUCCGGAAUUACUGGGCGUAAAGCGUGCGCAGGCGGUGAUGUAAGACAGAUGUGAAAUCCCCGGGCUCAACCUGGGAACUGCGUUUGUGACUGCAUCGCUGGAGUGCGGCAGAGGGGGAUGGAAUUCCGCGUGUAGCAGUGAAAUGCGUAGAUAUGCGGAGGAACACCGAUGGCGAAGGCAAUCCCCUGGGCCUGCACUGACGCUCAUGCACGAAAGCGUGGGGAGCAAACAGG
rnacentral:rRNA from 1 species